rnacentral:rRNA from 1 species
AGAGUUUGAUCAUGGCUCAGGAUGAACGCUGGCGGCGUGCCUAACACAUGCAAGUCGAGCGGAGAUAAACGCCGAAGGAGGCUUCGGCCGAUUUCAUGUUUAUCUUAGCGGCGGAUGGGUGAGGAACGCGUGGAGAACCUGCCCUUCACAGGGGGAUAACAGCUGGAAACGACUGUUAAUACCGCAUAUGCUCACAGCACCGCAUGGUGCAGGGAGGAAAGCCGAGACGGUGAAGGAUGGCUCCGCGUCGGAUUAGCCGGUUGGCGGGGUAACGGCCCACCAAAGCGAUGAUCCGUAGCCGGCCUGAGAGGGCGACCGGCCACAUUGGGACCGAGACACGGCCCAAACUCCUACGGGAGGCAGCAGUGGGGGAUAUUGCACAAUGGGGGAAACCCUGAUGCAGCGACGCCGCGUGAAGGAGGAAGUGCUUCGGCAUGUAAACUUCUAUCAGCAGGGAAGAAGAUGACGGUACCUGCACAAGAAGCCCCGGCUAACUACGUGCCAGCAGCCGCGGUAAUACGUAGGGGGCAAGCGUUAUCCGGAUUUACUGGGUGUAAAGGGAGCGUAGACGGCAAUGCAAGUCUGAUGUGAAAACCCGGGGCUCAACCGCGGGACUGCAUUGGAAACUGUAUAGCUCGAGUACUGGAGGGGCAGGCGGAAUUCCUGGUGUAGCGGUGAAAUGCGUAGAUGUCACGAGGAACACCGGUGGCGAAGGCGGCCUGCUGGACAGAGACUGACGUUGAGGCUCGAAAGCGUGGGGAGCAAACAGGAUUAGAUACCCUGGUAGUCCACGCCCUAAACGAUGAAUACUAGGUGUGGGGGGUCUGACCCCUUCCGUGCCGCAGUUAACGCAAUAAGUAAUCCACCUGGGGAGUACGGCCGCAAGGCUGAAACUCAAAGGAAUUGACGGGGGCCCGCACAAGCAGUGGAUUAUGUGGUUUAAUUCGAAGCAACGCGAAGAACCUUACCAGGUCUUGACAUCUCCUGCAUAGCCUAGAGAUAGGUGAAGUCCUUCGGGACAGGAUGACAGGUGGUGCAUGGUUGUCGUCAGCUCGUGUCGUGAGAUGUUGGGUUAAGUCCCGCAACGAGCGCAACCCUUGCCAUUAGUUGCUACGCGAGAGCACUCUAAUGGGACCGCUACCGACAAGGUGGAGGAAGGUGGGGAUGACGUCAAAUCAUCAUGCCCCUUAUGACCUGGGCUACACACGUAAUACAAUGGCCAUCAACAGAGGGUCGCAAUACCGCGAGGUGGAGCCAAUCCCUAAAAAUGGUCUCAGUUCGGAUCGCAGGCUGCAACCCGCCUGCGUGAAGCUGGAAUUGCUAGUAAUCGCGGAUCAGCAUGCCGCGGUGAAUACGUUCCCGGGCCUUGUACACACCGCCCGUCACACCAUGGGAGUUUGUAACACCCGAAGUCUGUAGUCUAACCCUUGUGGAGGACGCAGCCGAAGGUGGGAUAAGCGACUGGGGUAAAGUCGUAACAAGGUAACCGUA